rnacentral:lncRNA from 1 species
GAAAAAGGGACGCCGCCUUGUCCGGCUAAAACAGGAUCAAUACCAGUUGAAUUAAAAAAGGACGCAGAGAAGGAACAAAGAAGAAGAAGAAGAAGAAGAAGAAGAAAAAGAAGAAGAAAGAUGCUCGAACUAAAGUUUGAAAAUUUUAAAUACGUACUGAUUCUUAAGGGUAAUACUCGAACUUCUUAUCUGAGUUCUCCUUUUUAAUCUCGUUUGUGUUUGAAGGAUUUCACAAGGUAUAGAAAAUUAAAUAUCAAUAAGAAAUAUUGUGGACAACAAUAAUAUUUUAAGUUACAUCUGAUUCGUAUGUCCAGGGAAAUAAUUUUUUUCUUCUUUGUUAGUAUUAUAUCAAAUAAACUAUUUGAACACCUUUUUCCAAAGAAGAUACUGGACUAGCUUAAGUUAUUUGAGAAUAAAACGAGAUAUCUUGAGAGUUGGGUAUACUAGUUGAUUCGCAGAAAUAAGUCUGUCCCAUGGAGUGAAAACAGGGAAAGAAUUAAGUUCAACAAAAUUUAACCGACUACACUGGUGCCCGUGGAGUUAAUACAUAGAUUGGUUUUGUACUGAUAUAGGUAGUUGAAGAAGUCGAACGAAGUGCUCGCAGCGUCAAGUUCGAUAUUUCGGCACGAGUACUGUGAGUAGUAAUAUUACCACAAUUUGUGUUUUCAUAACCUGCAUGGUUUAUACAUUAUUUUGAAAAUAUAAUAUGUUAUCGAAUGUUUGAAAUUGCAUGUGGGACAAGUUCUUUACUUGAUA